rnacentral:lncRNA from 1 species
CACAAAUAUUUAUUGAGUUUUUCCUACGUGGCAGGCACUGUCCUAGGUGCUAGAAUCAAUACUUUCUAUUGAGUUGUGUUUCAAAGGUUCAGGUCCUCAACUUCUUUUUUUUUUUUUUUUUUUUUUUUUAUUUGUUAGAUCUUUGAAGCAUUUUCUUUUUUUUUUUUUUUUUUUUUUUUUUUGGUGUUCAAUUUACUAACAUACAGAAUAACCCCCAGUGCCCGUCAACUUCUUUUGAGAACCAAUCAACCUGGCAACUUGUGGAAGUGAGCAUUCCUGUUAUCUUUGUUUCCUGUGUUGCCUUCCUGUGGCCAGAGGUGCAAAAUGGUUACCUAAGAAGGAAAUGAGCAGACAAGGCUACUGGGUG